rnacentral:rRNA from 1 species
GACGAACGCUGGCGGCGCGCUUAACACAUGCAAGUCGAACGGAAAGGCCUGCUUUCCCUUGUGGAUUGCGGGUACUCGAGUGGCGAACGGGUGAGUAACACGUGAGUGAUCUGCCCCCAACUUGGGGAUAAGCCUGGGAAACUGGGUCUAAUUCCCGAUAGGACUGCAGGGUGGUGCCUGUGGUGGAAAACGAUUUUCUAGUGGUUGGGGAUGAGCUCGCGGCCUAUCAGCUUGUUGGUGGGGUAAUGGCCUACCAAGGCGGGGACGGGUAGCCGGCCUGGGGGAGUGGGCCUGCACAUUUGGACGGACAAACUGGCCCGGCGCCUACGGGAAGCAGCAGGUGGGAGGAUUACACGAGGGGUGGAAGCCUGAUGCAGGAACGCCGCAGGGGGGAUGCCGGCCUUGGGAUUGUAAACUCCUGUCUACCGCGAGGAAGCCACCUGGUUGGAAGGGUAGUGACGGUAGUGGUAGAAGAAGCACCGGCUAACUACGUG